rnacentral:rRNA from 1 species
UGGGGGAAUUUUGGACAAUGGGCGAAAGCCUGAUCCAGCAAUGCCGCGUGUGUGAAGAAGGCCUUCGGGUUGUAAAGCACUUUUGUCCGGAAAGAAAUCCUCUGGGUUAAUACCUCGGGGGGAUGACGGUACCGGAAGAAUAAGCACCGGCUAACUACGUGCCAGCAGCCGCGGUAAUACGUAGGGUGCAAGCGUUAAUCGGAAUUACUGGGCGUAAAGCGUGCGCAGGCGGUUUUGUAAGACGGAUGUGAAAUCCCCCGGGCUUAACCUGGGGGACUGCAUUCGUGACUGCAAGGCUAGAGUAUGGCAGAGGGGGGUAGAAUUCCACGUGUAGCAGUGAAAUGCGUAGAGAUGUGGAGGAAUACCGAUGGCGAAGGCAGCCCCCUGGGCCAAUACUGACGCUCAUGCACGAAAGCGUGGGGAGCAAACAGGAUUAGAUACCCUGGUAGUCCACGCCCUAAACGAUGUCAACUAGUUGUGGGGAUUCAUUUCCUUAGUAACGUAGCUAACGCGUGAAGUUGACCGCCUGGGGGAGUACGGUCGUGCAAAGAUUAAAACUUAAAUGAAUUGACGGGGUCAUAGCUGUUUCC